ACGUAGGGUGCGAGCGUUAAUCGGAAUUACUGGGCGUAAAGCGUGCGCAGGCGGUCUUGCAAGACAGGUGUGAAAUCCCCGGGCUUAACCUGGGAACUGCACUUGUGACUGCAAGGCUGGAGUACGGCAGAGGGGGAUGGAAUUCCGCGUGUAGCAGUGAAAUGCGUAGAUAUGCGGAGGAACACCGAUGGCGAAGGCAAUCCCCUGGGCCUGUACUGACGCUCAUGUACGAAAGCGUGGGGAGCAAACAGGAUUAGAUACCCUGGUAGUCCACGCCCUAAACGAUGUCAACUGGUUGUUGGGAAGGUUCCUUCUCAGUAACGUAGCUAACGCGUGAAGUUGACCGCCUGGGGAGUACGGCCGCAAGGUUG
rnacentral:rRNA from 1 species